rnacentral:tRNA from 1 species
GCGGGUGUGGUGAAAUUGGUAGACACGCCAGAUUUAGGAUCUGGUGCUUCGGCGUGUGGGUUCGAGUCCCUCCACCCGCA